rnacentral:rRNA from 1 species
GACGAACGCAGGCGGCGUGCUUAACACAUGCAAGUCGAACGGAAAGGCCCUUCGGGGUACUCGAGUGGCGAACGGGUGAGUAACACGUGGGUGAUCUGCCCUGCACUUUGGGAUAAGCCUGGGAAACUGGGUCUAAUACCGAAUAGGACCACGCGCUUCAUGGUGUGUGGUGGAAAGCUUUUGCGGUGUGGGAUGGGCCCGCGGCCUAUCAGCUUGUUGGUGGGGUAAUGGCCUACCAAGGCGACGACGGGUAGCCGGCCUGAGAGGGUGACCGGCCACACUGGGACUGAGAUACGGCCCAGACUCCUACGGGAGGCAGCAGUGGGGAAUAUUGCACAAUGGGCGCAAGCCUGAUGCAGCGACGCCGCGUGAGGGAUGACGGCCUUCGGGUUGUAAACCUCUUUCAAUAGGGACGAAGCGCAAGUGACGGUACCUAUAGAAGAAGCACCGGCCAACUACGUG